AGUUUGAUCAGUGGCUACGAGGACGAACGCUGGCGGCGUGCUUAACACAUGCAAGUCGAACGGUAAGGCCCUUCGGGGUACACGAGUGGCGAACGGGUGAGUAACACGUGGGUGAUCUGCCCUGCACUUCGGGAUAAGCCUGGGAAACUGGGUCUAAUACCGGAUAGGACCAUGGACUUCACGGUUUGUGGUGGAAAGCUUUUGCGGUGUGGGAUGGGCCCGCGGCCUAUCAGCUUGUUGGUGGGGUAAUGGCCUACCAAGGCGACGACGGGUAGCCGGCCUGAGAGGGUGUCCGGCCACACUGGGACUGAGAUACGGCCCAGACUCCUACGGGAGGCAGCAGUGGGGAAUAUUGCACAAUGGGCGCAAGCCUGAUGCAGCGACGCCGCGUGAGGGAUGACGGCCUUCGGGUUGUAAACCUCUUUCAAUAGGGACGAAGCGCAAGUGACGGUACCUAUAGAAGAAGCACCGGCCAACUACGUG
rnacentral:rRNA from 1 species